rnacentral:rRNA from 1 species
ACUCCUACGGGAGGCAGCAGUGGGGAAUUUUGCGCAAUGGGCGAAAGCCUGACGCAGCAACGCCGCGUGAGUGAUGAAGGCUUUCGGGUCGUAAAGCUCAGUCAGGGGGAAAGAAGUGUAUUGUGGCUAAUAUCCACGAUACUUGACGGUACCCCCAAAGGAAGCACCGGCUAACUCCGUGCCAGCAGCCGCGGUAAUACGGAGGGUGCAAGCGUUGUUCGGAAUUAUUGGGCGUAAAGCGCGUGUAGGCGGUUUUAUAAGUCUGAUGUGAAAGCCCUGGGCUCAACCCGGGAAGUGCAUUGGAUACUGUAAGACUUGAAUACGGGAGAGGGCAGUGGAAUUCCUAGUGUAGGAGUGAAAUCCGUAGAUAUUAGGAGGAACACCGGUGGCGAAGGCGGCUGCCUGGACCGAUAUUGACGCUGAGACGCGAAAGCGUGGGUAGCAAACAGGAUUAGAUACCCUGGUAGUCCACGCCGUAAACGAUGAGAACUAGGUGUUGCGGGUA